UUAAAAAAGAAAAAAAAAACUCCACAAAAUCCACAGGCUCCAGCGCUCUGCUCUCUCCACACGGCAGUCUCCACCUGUGUGGGCCCGCUCUUCAGCGACGUGGCCUCGAACGACCCGAGCCGCCGUCGAGGCGCAUCACAAGCCGCCGCCGCCGCCGGUUCUUGUUCUUCACCGACUCGUACUCGGCAGAGGCAGGCUGUCCGCCGCCCAAUAAGAGUAAACUGCCGCUGGCCCUCGUGGACAACACCGAACGGGACGCGCGCGCAGCAAGGGGAGAGGGAGACUAGAGAGGCCUGUGCGCCGAUCUGUUUGAAUUACCGGCGGCCGCGCAGCCUGGCUAGCCUUAUAGCAGAUUCCGGCACAGUCCAUCCAGCGGCGGCAAGGGCAGACAAUGGAGGAGGGAUCAACCACCACAGCACCAAAAAUAAAAGACUCGACCUGCCCAGAAACAGAUGGCAUUCAAGAUGCCGAAAGGAGAGGAUCAGAACUGAUAUUACCAGAGGAUAUACUUUAUUACAUACAUGCUCUCAUGUCAACGAGGGAUGCUGCCCGUGCUGCUGUUGUAUCCCGUGGAUUUCGUAAUUCUUGGAAGUUCUACCCCAGGCUUAUGUUUGAUACCGAGACACUAGGCAUAAAUGAAGACGGCUGUAACAAUAACAAAGUAACAUGUGAUCCCAUUAGUAUAGUUGACCACAUUAUGCAGAACCAUUAAGGCAUUGGGGUGAAAACAUUUAGGCUUCGCAUCGAGCCAUGUGUCAAUGUUCAUCCAGUUAUGUUGACCACUGGCUUCAAGGUGCCAUAACGCCUGGGAUUGAAGAUUUUGAACUGCAGAUGCCCUGGCCCAACAAGAUCUCUUACAAUUUCCCAUCUUCACUUUUAUCUACUGAGAGGGGAAGCUCGAUGCAGUCAUUUGCACUCUCUGACUGUGCUUUCCAUUCUGCAGCUGGAGUUGGUUUCUUGAGUAACCUGACGAAGGUGGCACUGAGUUCAGUCCCCAUUACUGGGGAGGAAUUAUGUGGGUUUAUCUCCAAUUCUUUGGCACUGGAGCGAUUGGACCUGUUAAACUGCCAUGAUAUAGUUCAUCUGAAGAUACCUUGCCUUUUGUCACAGCUUAAUUUCCUACAAGUGGAAGAUUGUGUUAUGCUGGAGAUCACUGAAAGCAGUGCUCCAAAUCUGUCUCAGUUCAGCUAUCUAGGCCGCCCGACGAUACAUAUCUCACUUGGAGAUCCUCCAAUAAAGCUGAGGCAUAUACAUAUGUCGAGUUUCGAUGACUCUAACAUGCUUUAUUCUGCCAGUACCAAGCUUCCAUCCAUGGCACCGAAUUUGCAAACUCUUUUUCUGACAUCCACUUAUGAGAUUGUUAAUACACCUAUGGUGCAUGGAAAGUAAAUCCAUCUCAAGUACCUGGAGAUAUUACUAUUCAAACCAAGCUUUUCCCCGGACUAUGACUUCUGUUCCCUAGACUCUUUCCUUCAUGGUUCACCUGCCCUGGAGACUUUUACCUUGCGUAUAGCGCUGCCAGCCAUAAGGCACGAUUCAAUUCUUGGAUGUUCUGAUAGCAAUUCAGUGCAGCCAAGGCGUGUUUCAGAACAUAGCCAUGACAGCUUGAAAAAUGUGAUGAUCACUGGCUUUUGCUCUGCAAAGAGCAUGAUUGAGCUUACAAAACAUAUUCUUGAGAGGGCACAUUCACUUGAGCGCAUGACAUUAGACACUAGCCGUGGCCACGAUGACAAGUUGGGGAAUUGUGCACAAAUGUUGGAGGAGGGUCUCCUUGAAGCCCAAAGAGCUCGCUUGGCUAUUGGACGACAUCUAGAGGAGCAUGUUCCCUCGACUGUUCGCCUGAAGGUUGUCGAGCCCUGCAGCAUGUGCGUACACUAAUUAGCUUUAGGUGUUUCCUCAAGUUUUUUUGGGCAUAAUUUAUGCAGUAUUCAGUUAUGUAAUGUACAUUUGGACUCCUUUUUUUUGUUGCUUCAUCAUUGCGAUGACUUGUCAUUUAAAGAAAAUUUUCCACUGAUCCCUUUUGGUCUAACAUCUACUGUAACUUUGUAA